AUUAUGUUAACGGAGUUAGGCUAGGUUGCUAAUGGUUUACAUGUAAGAGAAGGGAUUAACAUGGCAUCUGAAUUGUCUUUUUUCCCCCCAUCCAAUUUGUUUUGUUUUAUUAACAAAGCAUCAGUUUACUUUAGGUAAUAUGUAAAUAUGGGAUGUCACGAUAAAAUGUGUUAGUGUUAAUAUUUGUACGAAAAUAGCGUUUAACAGUUCGCUAGCUUGAUGCUAACCACAUUUAGCUUGGCUAAGCGCUAGUUAGCUCUAGCCUAGUUGGUUUUAGUCAAUGCCAGCAGUUAAUAAUGUAAUGGUUGUAGCGUUGUUUCGCAUAGGCGUCCAGUGAUUUAGAGUUUUUUUCAAAAUUGACACUGAUAGGACAGUGAGUUAUAUGUAAUGUGAAUGUGUAGAUGUAUGGUGACUUCAUGUUUGGAUGAACGUGCCAUGGGCAAGUCCCUUGACGGGUAACGGAUGGUGGAAGGACAAUCUGAAGGUGAGACUGAACAUGGACAAGGCGCAUGAGAAAAAGGAGAGCCACCGGAGAAGAAUCAAGGGAACCAACCGACAUCCCGGUGAAUGACUUGGUUUGGAAGAAGGACGAAAGGAAGGCGAGACCCGGGUAAGCUUGGUGCUCCUAGCUGGGGUCACCAUCAGUUAAGAACCACACAAACUCUUAGUUAACACAAUUGUUAAGCCAUACACUGUGCUGUGCUGUUACUGCUAUGUGAAUCAGCGUCAUUAAACAACCUCAACUGGAAUCAUACCGGUCUGUCAUCUGUGCUCUUACAAGCAGCUGGGAGAGAGCACAUAGUGCUAAGUAAAACCUAACCCUAAAGAAUAUACAGUCCUCAACUACCUCCAGGUAGGUACUGUUAAGGUAUAUGACUCCAGUGGUCAUGACACCACCCUGGAGUUUCUCUCACAACUCAUCUCUGUCUUUUCCAGGGACCAUCCCUUAUCCUUUCUUUUCUGUCUGCCAUUAACAUUACUGUAUGUCUAAUCAAACACUUAAAUUAAAUGAUUCAAUAAGUGUAUUUUUACAUACCUGAUAAUCCUUUAACCUGUGUGUUUGCUUGUUUACAUCUGUCUCCUACCCUUUACUCUGCUCCUGUUCUCCAGGACCUAGGGGUUCUGCCUAACACCCAGACAUGGACCCAGCUGAUGUCUUUCAUUACCAACCACCCUCCAACUUUUCAUUACAUCAGCUACUGUUAUUGUCAAGUUGUCAUUAUCUGCUAAGAAAGAGCAAGAAAACUAUCAUACUGGGCACAUAAUGUGAGAUGCACAGAUUAGCUAAAAACAGUAGCACUGCAAACACUCAGAACAAAGGCGGCAGCAGCGCCUGGACUUUGCAGUUUCCCUCUUCGAGUCCACCUUCCAAGACUGACUACCUGAUGAAAACAAGUGACAGGCAGACCUCCCAUCCACACAAUACCCACCACCUCUCUAUUCCACACAUCGGAAUUCAGUAUUUCAGUCUGAUUGUUUGUACACUCACAUGGCAAUCUGAAAGUAAAUUGACACACAUGUACCAAAAAAAUAAAGUUUAUGUAUUUAAAUCUAAAA